rnacentral:lncRNA from 1 species
GCAGCUGGGUCCAUGUGAAUCACGCAGUCUUGCAGGCGUGAAAUGAUUGCACAGCAGUGAAAUGAUACGAGGCCAGCAGAAGGCUCCCAGGGAUGGCUCCAGGCUGAGCCCUGCAGGGCCCUCGGAGGGGUAGAGUCCACGCUGCGGCCGGCGGGUCUGCAUGGAGCCACCCUUGCCCUGUGGCGCUGCUGUGCCACCUGAGAGAGGAGGACACCUGAAUCUUGUCUUCCCCUCCAGUGAGGCCUUGAUUUCCCCCGGGAAGGAGAUGGACAGACCUUUGUCCCAGUGCUCCGGAGGCAGAGCUGGUGUGGACCCAGCCUUGUGUGCAGGGAGCACACUCGGGGAACUCAGAAAGCGGCCCACUUGUCACGGUGCAGCCAGUUUGUGGCCCUGUUUCAAGGAGAAAGCUGAAGGAAAGGCGGAGAACCCACCAGGCCUCCCAGCUAAUCACCCAGGCCUGAAAUCAGACCCAUCUGCCACCCAGCUCCUCAGUGCUGGAGGCCGCAGAGGAGACUGGCGCGAGUCCCCUCAGAGCCAGCCGCAAAGCUCAGCAGAGUCACGGGCACGUCACAGGAACCUGCGCCAGGCCGUCCAGGAAGUCCUGAGAGGUCCCGGGAGGAAUCUGCGUGCUUGA